CAUAAUCUAAGCGGUUCAGCAGCUACAGCAGCUAAUGGGUAUGCCUAGCAUUUCAGUAUUGUUGGGUAGAAUUGAAAGGAACCCAGAUGGAGAGUUUUAAUUUUUAUUUGAAUUGCAUGUUAUCCAGAUGAAAAAUUGAAUUUUCGAGCUACGGUUUUUCGAUUUUUUUAAUUUGGGAUUUCAAUUUUAUUGCUUUUUCUCAUAUAUGAUAAUGGUUAUGGUUUUUCUACGAAUUUUGAUUAUUUUAUGAUCUGGGUUUAAUGAUUUUAGAUGGGGAUCAAGUAUAAUACGUGUGUAGAGGUUUGAAUUGCUAAUGCGUUGCAACGGCUUCAGUUUUAUUGGGUUGCUUGUUCUCAGUUAAUUGUUGAUUCAAGAGUUUUUAAUGAAAGAAUUUUCAAGAGUUUUUUUUUUUAAUGAAAGAAUUUGCUUUUGAAAAUCAUGCUGUGAAGGAUCUUGCAGGACUUGUUGAAGUCGUCUUUUUAUCCGCUUUGGGAGCUCGAUUUGGCUUGAUUUCAAGCUACUGGUCCGAGUUUGGUUAUCCUUCUGAUGGCAGCAGUGGCGGAGGAUGAUGCAGCGGCAGAGGAUGAAGGUGUUAGGGUUUUUUUUUAUGCUGGGCUUGGUUUCGUUGUCCUAUUUGGCCUUGUAAAUGUGGAUGUGUUAGGGUUUUUUUUUAUGCUGGGCUUGGUUUCGUUGUCCUAUUUGGCCUUGUAAAUGUGAAUGUGUUGUUGGUAAUAAAAAAAAGUAGCCCAAUGUCAAACCCAGGAAAAAAAAAAGUAAUUGGACCCGUAGACCCGUCCCGAACCAGCCCGUUUAAAACGGGCCGGGUUAGGUCCGGUUCCUAAAUUCAAAAUCUCUCUACC
rnacentral:lncRNA from 1 species